GGGGACAAAAACCAGCAAUGCACUGCUCUUGAACAUUUGAAAAACAAGUGCUCAUGAGUUUCACAAUCACCACAAAAUUUGCACUCUCUCGAGAUGUGAGGCAAGAUCUUGUUAACCUGUUCAUUUGUUGGCAACCUCUCCUUUAGUAGCUUCCACAUAAAAAUAGCAAUCUUCGGUGGAAGUUUAAGCUUCCAAAGACCUUUCCAAAGUUG
rnacentral:misc_RNA from 1 species